rnacentral:tRNA from 1 species
GGAGAGAUGGCAGAGCGGUUGAAUGCACUGGUCUUGAAAACCAGCAUAGGUUAGUAGCCUAUCCAGGGUUCUAAUCCCUGUCUCUCCGCCA